rnacentral:miRNA from 1 species
AGGGGGUAGAAAGUGGCUGAAG